GGCCCUGCAGCGGGUCCCGCCACCAUACCGAUACACAAGGGGUAAUAGUAGUACACGAACGGGCGGCACACUCACACAACGAGCAGCUCCCAGUGAUCAGGCACUCCGUUCGACCGCAUCGGACACAGCCGCACUCGUCGCCAUCCUCCCGGGCCAUCCUCCCCCUCCAGGCCGAUCAACCGCAAUGCUCAGGGUAAACAUGAAUUGAGAAAGCGUUCAGAUAUCCUAACAAGGGAAACGCGAGAAAUUGCUCGCACCCUGAACCCCUCGCUCUAUCGGGCUCCGUAUUGAUCCUCUCUGCUGUGUAAGUGGUGGCUUCGCCGCUCGCCGCUCAUCGCCAGUCACCGCUUGGACAAGCCUCUUAGCGUCAAACGUGCACUUGCACCCGCGAUUGCAACCAUUGAUGCGAGUUGAAUGGAUACAUAGCGUUCAUCACGCGUAGCUAAACAGGUCAACGGCCGCACUGUCCCCUGCAACUCCUUUCCCUACCAUCCUUGCCUCAGUCUGUGGCCAAUCGCACUCCUGGAUCCACCCUUACCAGUUGUAUUAGUCUACAGGUACGCGUCCAGGGCCACUCCUCUCUCGCCCUGAAAGUGUAUCAAUGUUGACCAACUCACCCCUGUUCUCCUUGUUUCGUUGCA
rnacentral:lncRNA from 1 species